GGAGGCGUGGCAGAGCGGCUGAAUGCACCGGUUUUGAAAACCGGCAGGGCGAAAGUCCUCAGGGGUUCGAAUCCUCUCGCCUCCGCCA
rnacentral:tRNA from 1 species